rnacentral:rRNA from 1 species
GACGAACGCUGGCGGCGUGCUUAACACAUGCAAGUCGAGCGGUAAGGCCCUUUCGGGGUACGACGAGCGGCGAACGGGUAGAGUAACAACGUGGGUGGACCUCGCCCUCCAGCUCUGGGAUAAGCCUGGGAAACCGGGUCUAAUACCGGAUAUGACUCCAUGACGCAUGUUGUGGGGUGGAAAGCCUUGUGCGGCUGAGGAUGGGCCCGCGGCCUAUCAGCUU